rnacentral:tRNA from 1 species
UCCUUUGUGGCUUGGAUGGUAAAGCAUCUGCCUACAGUGCGGGAGACCUGGGUUCAAUCCCUGGAUGGGGAA